AGUGAACGCUAGCGGUGCGCCUAACACAUGCAAGUCGAGUGGGUUUAGACCCACGGCGAACGGCUGAGGAACACGUUGGAACCUACCCCGAACUCAGGGAUAACCCGCCGAAAGGCGGAAUAAUACCGGAUGCCCUCGUAAGAGGAAAGAUUUAUCGGUUCGGGAAGGGCCUGCGGCCUAUCAGCUUGUUGGUAAGGUAAAAGCUUACCAAGGCUAUGACGGGUAACUGGUCUGAGAGGACGACCAGUCAGAAUGGGACUGAGACACGGCCCAUACUCCUACGGGAGGCAGCAGUGAGGAAUCUUCCGCAAUGGGCGAAAGCCUGACGGAGCGACACCGCGUGGGGGAUGAAACCAUUUUUUGGCGUAAACCCCUGUCCUGAGGGACGAAAUUUUUGACGGUACCUCAGAAGAAAGCACCGGCUAAUUCCG
rnacentral:rRNA from 1 species